rnacentral:lncRNA from 1 species
UUACCUGGCCAACCUGGUGAGUUAGAUUUUGAUUAGAUCACUUGGUGAUUAGGACUCACCCAUGUCAUUAGGUAAAUCAGUGUGACUGAUUUAGGUGCUCCUAAUGCCGGCUUUAAUUAAAUCUUUUUUAAUCUAACUUGGUGAAGUCAGUGGGAGGAUUAAAAUUGGCUGAUCAAUUUCUUCUCUUCUAUCCUUUAAUAAAAUCCUCAAAAAUUAUUAGAUCCCUAAAAAUGAUUAAGUUAUAGUGAUAACUAAGUCAUAGCCUCCCAUUAAGUGAGUGAUAAUGAGUCCAUUAGUUUAAUAAUCACUGGAGGCCCAAAGGUCUGAUGCUUAUUGACUAAUGGAAUUAUCAUUCAUAAUAUGAUAAUUUGGUUGAGUCUUUCUGAUGGUGGUCAGGUUGGCCGACCAAAGUCGGGCCUGAUCAUUUAUUAGUCCGAUUCACCAAAUCAAGUCAUGUUAAUGGUUGGACCUA